UUGCAACACAUACAGGAUGCCACUGAUCCUUGUGUUUGGAUACAUACCUCAAGUGUUCCAUAUUCAGGAAUACAGUGACCAGCUGUUACCACCCAGGACGGACUGAUAAUGGAACCACCACAGAUGUGCUGCCGGAGGAUGAUCAGUACGACUUGCUGCAGAGAGAUCUGGUAUGGGAACUCACCUGCAGGACCCACAAGGCUUGUGCUGGGAAUUACUUUGCCGUACGCGUCCUUGAGAGUUUCCGCUAGAUCAGCAGGAUUUUAUUGAACACAGCAGUUACACUGGUUGCAGUGAAAGGACUAGCGAAGGAAACGCACAAUAAUUCCAGAUUACACUGAAGCCUUCAUCUAGAACGCAUUAUAGCCCGAACAGCAAAGACAUUUACAAUGAAAUCUGCCAAGUCAACGACAGCUACAGUUAUGGUAAAAACUACGACCAUAACAAAGACCGUUGCUACAGUAAAUACUCCAGUGACUACAAAGCCUGCAGUAAAAGCCAAUCGAAAGCCUCCAAAUACAGCAAAAGUUAAUCCAACCCCAAAGCCUCCAUCUUUUAUUAAAAAUGCAAAUUUUCAAAAACCUCCACCUGCAAUAAAAGCUGCAAGGCCUUCAAAACCAAGAACUGCAACCGCACCAAAACCUGGAAUGACAGUGGAAUCUACAACCAUGUCAAAGAAGAUUGUAGUUAAAGCUACUACCACAAAAACAAAGAGCCAGUUUUGAUACAUAAGCAGUGACAAAUAUGUUGGUUACUCGUUGCAAAAGUGAUGAUGUUUCAAGAUGGUGAUAUUAUAUCAGGAUAGCAACACACCAGCAUGAUAUUUGAUGCUGUAUUACUUUCAUAAUAUUUUCAGUUCAGUCGCUUCACAAAACAGGUCUACAUCCAGAGUGGAACUUCUAUUUUGUUUAGAAUAUGUAACUGAAUCAAUAAGUAUGUGAAUAUGCAAAUUCCCGUGUAAGGUACACACUUUGCUAAAAUGACUACUGAAUACAGUCUGAAAAGUUGCAUAUUAGAUUAUGGUGUUUUCAUUUAAGCUAUAUACAAGUAUCUAGCAGACAAAAUUUUUCUUGCAUUCCUCCUCUUCCCCUAAUGUUUUUCUGUGGUUUGUAGCGUCUUCUUUGAGGUGACCCAUUUGUAUCAUGUAGUUGCAUAUGUUGUCAAUGACAUUUUGUGGGAACAUUUCAGGAUUAGUUUCCAUGUAGUGGUAUACAAACAGGUCAGCCCCGGUUAUAAUGAAACGUUGUGUGAACACAACAACCAACGCUCCUGCAAAAAUCAUGGAAUGACAGUAAAUUGUCAGUGCGAGUUUCUGUGGUGCUUGAUGAAUAAUGUAAGCACUUUUCUUUGCUGUGCUCUGCUGCAUGCAUGUUUAAAUUCCAUAAAACCACCACCAAUUUGUGUUCUGCUAUAAAGUUUACAUGUCAGUCAAUCUUGUUAUAGUUCCAUAGUCUUUUCUUUUGUAAUAUGUAAUAAUUUUGUAUAAUAGUUUGGAAAAUAUAGAAAUUCACAUAGUG